rnacentral:rRNA from 1 species
AGUAACGCGUAGGCAAUCUGCCCCCAACUGAGGAAUAACCCAUCGAAAGGUGGGCUAAUACCACAUAAAGACAGACGACCGCAUGGUCGACUGUCCAAAGUUCAGGCGGUUGGGGAUGAGCCUGCGUCGGAUUAGCUAGUUGGCGGGGUAACGGCCCACCAAGGCGACGAUCCGUAGCGGGUCUGAGAGGAUGAUCCGCCACACUGGCACUGAGACACGGGCCAG